rnacentral:tRNA from 1 species
AGGGGUGUAGUUCAGUGGUAGAGCACUUGCCUAGCAUGUACAAAGUCCUGGGUUCAAUUCCCAGUACAACAA